rnacentral:rRNA from 1 species
UUGAACGCACCUUGCACCUUUUGGUAUUCCAAAAGGUACACCUGUUUGAGUGUCAU